CCCCCAAAAGAAAGGAAUGUCACAGCAGUUAAGCUUCAAAACAUUCCAUCUUAGUUAGAUGGGGGAGACUUAAUUCCCACCAUCUUUUAGAGAUGCUAAAGAUGACAUCUUUAGAUUUAAUUAUCACAAUCUGUUGAGCAGCUUGGGCUUCUAGCCUAUUUGGGCUCCUGCCUGGACACAGGAAGAGGGGAUCUCGCUACUCCAAGGAUGGCCUGGGGUGAGGAAGGGAGGAUCCCUUCCUUCCUUUCUCGGCCUCACUUGCGGCACAUGGAAGUUCGUAGGGCAGGGAUUGCAUCUGAGCAGGAGCUGUGACCUACGCCUUAGCUGCAGCAAUGCAGGAUCCUAAACCCCGUGCAUCACCCAGCCCCUCCACAAAGACAAGCUGGGUCAUUAGCCCACUGCGCCAGAGCAGGAACUCUAGGAGGACCUUUUUCUUGAAGCAUAAUGGCAAUGAACAAUCUUUGAGCUGCUCCUUGACGAGACAGAGUUUCAAGAUUAAAAUCAGAGAGCCCAGGUGCUCCCCCAGGGAACCCUGAAACUCUGUGCUUUACAACUCGGGGGUAAAAGUCCCUGCUGAUAGCAAAGAAUGGCUGCAGUCAGGCUAAGGAUUCGUUUAUGAUGAUUAAAUAUCACUGAAAUGUCUGCUCUAAAGACAGUUUAGGGGAAAAAUGAGCUGCUAUGGGACUUCUUUCUGUGCGGGCAAUUCAAGAAAAUUCUUUGGUAGUAACCAACAUUUACAGCAGGGCCACAGUCAAUGUCCAUCUGUACUAAACAUAAGUUUGCACAUAGAAGCAAAGUAAGGGAGUAUCUGCAUUCUUCAGGAAAUCCGCCAGGCUUCUGUGAGCUCAUGUGAAUCCUGCCACGGCUGAGAGAUACGAGAAAGCUUCAAAAGGGGAAGCCGAACAGGCUGUGUAGAGGGGAAUCAAACCCCCAGAUCCAAUCAUCUUCCACCAAAAGACUGAUGAGUAACGCGGCAGGAUCAGUUUCACCGGGACAAACAGCUUAUUUUAAUUCAUUCUCUCCAGUAAUAUUCAAAAAGGAUGAAUCAUGCCGUUAUUGUAACGAGAGUGAAAGCCUUGGGAAGAAGGAGCAAGAGCUCAAAUCCUGGCGAUUUCUUGACAUCUUCCGUUCAUAUGAAGUCCCAUGCCGUUUCCCGGAGGAUGAGGGAGGAGGAUGGGAAGGCUGGUUCUUUUUCUUCACGAUGGGAGGCUACGACAGCAGCCCGCAGGUACGGCUGCAGGACUGAGGGGCAGACGUGAGCAAGACCAAAGCCCCCCACCCCGCCCCUCUGCUGUGGGCUGCCUACACUGUGUGGACCAUACGACAUCGAGGGCUCUGAUUUCUGCUGCCCUCCCUCUCCUGUGACCCACAGGACCCUCUGAGCUAGAAGAUCUGUUUCAUCUCUACGGAUCUUUCCAGCGGUAAUAAGAGCCCACUUCACCUGCUGUGCCACAGUGUUAUGGGUGAAACUGUGUCCCCAUGAGGUCAAAGGCAUUUGGGGUAGGAUGUUAUCCCAACUUUACGGCUGCUGUUUCGGGGGCUGUGACACUAUCUCCUCCAGGGCGGAAUUCAGUAUGAGGCACAACAGAUCUGGAUCCUUGAGGUGAGAAAACCCAGGAAGAACCCGGAGGCAAUGCACUUGGGCUCAACCAACCAAAGCUGCCAUGGAAGCUCCUACUGUGGAUAAUACAGUAGUCUGCUAGUUUGCGUGCUAUUUUUACAGACAUGAAAAUUCAGCUUUUCACAUUUCACUUUCACCUGGUGCAAGAUCAAGACCGACAAAGGCCAUGUGAUUCGUGUGCUUCCUGCAGUUAAGCACCGGCUGCAGUGAUGAGAGCAAGCGCCUCUGGGUCAAUCUGAUGCUGUCACAAAACUGGGAGCUUUUCAAAGUAGCCAAUAAAUUAAAUGCUGGGAAGGAUGAAAUGUCUUUCCUCAAUUUUCAACUCAUUCCUAUGAAAUGGGGGAACAGUGAGUUCCAUCAGAAGACUUCUGUGUGGAAUUCCUGUUGUGGCUCAGCGGAAACGUAUCCGGCCAGGAAC